UGUGCUCUGCUUCCUGCUCACAUCCUUACGUCUUUCCUGGGGAAUGUUGCUCCUCCUGUGAAGAGUGUCUCUUUGAAGGCCAUCUUUUAGAGAAUGGAGGCUCCUACAUAUUAAAGGUGGAUCCCUGCAUUGUGUGUCAUUGUUCUGUUGGAAAUGUUCAAUGUGAGCAAAGGGACAAUUCCUGUACUCCAUGUGUGCAGAAGACACAGGAUUGUCUAAAUG